rnacentral:rRNA from 1 species
GAUGAACGCUGGCGGCAUGCCUAACACAUGCAAGUCGAGCGACAAGACGAUGAGCUUUCUCCCCUGACGUUAGCGGCGGACGGGUGAGUAACCCGUGGAUAACCUACUAAUAAGUCUGGGAUAACUUCGGGAAACCGGAGCUAAUACCAGAGAAUAUAUUGAACCGCAUGGUUCAAUAGUGAAAGACGGUUUUCGUGUCACUUAUAGAUGGAUCCGCGCCGCAUUAGCUAGUUGGUAAGGUAACGGCUUACCAAGGCGACGAUGCGUAGCUGACCUGAGAGGGUGAUCAGCCACACUGGAACUGAGACACGGUCCAGACUCCUACGGGAGGCAGCAGUAGGGAAUAUUGCGCAAUGGGCGAAAGCCUGACGGAGCAACGCCGCGUGAGUGAUGAAGGUCUUCGGGUCGUAAAACUCUUUUGUUGGGGAAGAAAAACUGUGUAAUUAACUAUGCACGUCUUGACGGUACCUAAAGAGAAAGCAACGGCUAACUACGUG